rnacentral:rRNA from 1 species
CCUACGGGAGGCAGCAGUGAGGAAUAUUGGACAAUGGGCGAAAGCCUGAUCCAGCCAUGCCGCGUGCAGGAAGACUGCCCUAUGGGUUGUAAACUGCUUUUAUACGGGAAGAAACCCAUCUACGUGUAGGUGGCUGACGGUACCGUAAGAAUAAGCAUCGGCUAACUCCGUGCCAGCAGCCGCGGUAAU